rnacentral:tRNA from 1 species
GCCUCAAUAGCUCAGCUGGCAGAGCAACCGCCUUGUAAGCGGUAGGUCGUGGGUUCAAUCCCUACUUGAGGCA